AUGGAGGUGAUGACAAUUUCCCCAAAUGAUCGGAUCUGAUUAUACUGAGCGAUUUUAUGUUUUCUCAUCAGAAAACCAAGCCAAUAUUCUGAUCCUU
rfam:Brassica napus, WGS project CCCW01000000 data, contig: 2072